CUGAAUAUCUUCGUAAAUCAUAGAACGCUUACUGAACUAUUUGAUGAGGUGGUGGUGAAGACCUCCUUUUUGGAUGUAUGGUAUGAAAAAAAGCAGACUUCAAGCAGGUCACCUGCCUCCUUAUUUAUCAAAAUAGACUGUUGUGAGAUGCUCUAAAAAAGAUACAUAACCUGCCUUCAGUCUUUCUCCAUGUACAAAUUGAAUCAAGUAAAUUUUGAUGUACCAACAUAAACGAUUAAAGUCCCAUAUCCUUUUAUAAAAAUGGGAGGUGGGCCCAACUAUUACUGCCGAAUAUUACAUGAUAAAAACCUUUCCUAUUGAAUGACUUUCUGAUGAGAAUAGUAUAUUUCUUUAAUUUUAUUUUUUUUAGCAGUGCUGGAGUUUGAACUCAGAGCCUUGUACUUGAUAGGAAGGC